GAAGGUGUGCUGUGAGGCAUGCUGGAGGUAUCAGAAGUGCGAAUGCUGACAUAAGUAACGAUAAAGCGGGUGAAAAGCCCGCUCGCCGGAAGACCAAGGGUUCCUGUCCAACGUUAAUCGGGGCAGGGUGAGUCGACCCCUAAGGCGAGGCCGAAAGGCGUAGUCGAUGGGAAACAGGUUAAUAUUCCUGUACUUGGUGUUACUGCGAAGGGGGGACGGAGAAGGCUAUGUUGGCCGGGCGACGGUUGUCCCGGUUUAAGCGUGUAGGCUGGUUUUCCAGGCAAAUCCGGAAAAUCAAGGCUGAGGCGUGAUGACGAGGCACUACGGUGCUGAAGCAACAAAUGCCCUGCUUCCAGGAAAAGCCUCUAAGCAUCAGGUAACAUCAAAUCGUACCCCAAACCGACACAGGUGGUCAGGUAGAGAAUACCAAGGCGCUUGAGAGAACUCGGGUGAAGGAACUAGGCAAAAUGGUGCCGUAACUUCGGGAGAAGGCACGCUGAUAUGUAGGUGAAGUCCCUCGCGGAUGGAGCUGAAAUCAGUCGAAGAUACCAGCUGGCUGCAACUGUUUAUUAAAAACACAGCACUGUGCAAACACGAAAGUGGACGUAUACGGUGUGACGCCUGCCCGGUGCCGGAAGGUUAAUUGAUGGGGUCAGCGCAAGCGAAGCUCUUGAUCGAAGCCCCGGUAAACGGCGGCCGUAACUAUAACGGUCCUAAGGUAGCGAAAUUCCUUGUCGGGUAAGUUCCGACCUGCACGAAUGGCGUAAUGAUGGCCAGGCUGUCUCCACCCGAGACUCAGUGAAAUUGAACUCGCUGUGAAGAUGCAGUGUACCCGCGGCAAGACGGAAAGACCCCGUGAACCUUUACUAUAGCUUGACACUGAACAUUGAGCCUUGAUGUGUAGGAUAGGUGGGAGGCUUUGAAGUGUGGACGCCAGUCUGCAUGGAGCCGACCUUGAAAUACCACCCUUUAAUGUUUGAUGUUCUAACGUUGACCCGUAAUCCGGGUUGCGGACAGUGUCUGGUGGGUAGUUUGACUGGGGCGGUCUCCUCCUAAAGAGUAACGGAGGAGCACGAAGGUUGGCUAAUCCUGGUCGGACAUCAGGAGGUUAGUGCAAUGGCAUAAGCCAGCUUGACUGCGAGCGUGACGGCGCGAGCAGGUGCGAAAGCAGGUCAUAGUGAUCCGGUGGUUCUGAAUGGAAGGGCCAUCGCUCAACGGAUAAAAGGUACUCCGGGGAUAACAGGCUGAUACCGCCCAAGAGUUCAUAUCGACGGCGGUGUUUGGCACCUCGAUGUCGGCUCAUCACAUCCUGGGGCUGAAGUAGGUCCCAAGGGUAUGGCUGUUCGCCAUUUAAAGUGGUACGCGAGCUGGGUUUAGAACGUCGUGAGACAGUUCGGUCCCUAUCUGCCGUGGGCGCUGGAGAACUGAGGGGGGCUGCUCCUAGUACGAGAGGACCGGAGUGGACGCAUCACUGGUGUUCGGGUUGUCAUGCCAAUGGCACUGCCCGGUAGCUAAAUGCGGAAGAGAUAAGUGCUGAAAGCAUCUAAGCACGAAACUUGCCCCGAGAUGAGUUCUCCCUGAC
rnacentral:rRNA from 1 species